UUAAAACAGUGCUCACCCACGCUCUCCAC
rnacentral:piRNA from 1 species